rnacentral:rRNA from 1 species
UACGUAGGGUGCGAGCGUUAAUCGGAAUACUGGGCGUAAAGCGUGCGCAGGCGGUUUUGUAAGACAGGCGUGAAAUCCCCGGGCUCAACCUGGGAAUGGCGCUUGUGACUGCAAAGCUGGAGUGCGGCAGAGGGGGAUGGAAUUCCGCGUGUAGCAGUGAAAUGCGUAGAUAUGCGGAGGAACACCGAUGGCGAAGGCAAUCCCCUGGGCCUGCACUGACGCUCAUGCACGAAGCGUGGGGAGCAAACAGG